UACGUAGGUGACAAGCGUUGUCCGGAUUUACUGGGCGUAAAGAGCGCGCAGGCGGUCGUUCAAGUCGAGUGUGAAAGCCCCCGGCUCAACUGGGGAGGGUCAUUCGAUACUGAUCGACUCGAAGGCAGGAGAGGGAAGUGGAAUUCCCGGUGUAGUGGUGAAAUGCGUAGAUAUCGGGAGGAACACCAGUGGCGAAGGCGACUUCCUAGCCUGUUCUUGACGCUGAGGCGCGAAAGCUAGGGGAGCAAACGGGG
rnacentral:rRNA from 1 species